UACGGGGGGGGCAAGCGUUGUUCGGAAUUACUGGGCGUAAAGCGCACGUAGGCGGACUGUUAAGUCGGGGGUGAAAUCCUGGGGCUCAACCUCAGAAUUGCCUCCGAUACUGGCAGUCUCGAGUGCGGGAGAGGUGAGUGGAAUUCCCAGUGUAGAGGUGAAAUUCGUAGAUAUUGGGAAGAACACCAGUGGCGAAGGCGGCUCACUGGCCCGUAACUGACGCUGAGGUGCGAAAGCGUGGGGAGCAAACAGG
rnacentral:rRNA from 1 species